rnacentral:rRNA from 1 species
AUACGGAGGGGGCUAGCGUUGUUCGGAAUUACUGGGCGUAAAGCGCACGUAGGCGGACUGAUCAGUUGGGGGUGAAAUCCCAGGGCUCAACCCUGGAACUGCCUCCAAUACUGUCAGUCUUGAGAUUGGAAGAGGUGAGUGGAAUUCCUAGUGUAGAGGUGAAAUUCGUAGAUAUUAGGAGGAACACCAGUGGCGAAGGCGGCUCACUGGUCCGAUACUGACGCUGAGGUGCGAAAGCGUGGGGAGCAAACAGGAUUAGAAACCCUAGUAGUCC